UUUAUGGAGAGUUUGAUCCUGGCUCAGGAUGAACGCUGGCGGCGUGCCUAAUACAUGCAAGUCGAGCGAACGGACGAGAAGCUUGCUUCUCUGAUGUUAGCGGCGGACGGGUGAGUAACACGUGGAUAACCUACCUAUAAGACUGGGAUAACUUCGGGAAACCGGAGCUAAUACCGGAUAAUAUUUUGAACCGCAUGGUUCAAAAGUGAAAGACGGUCUUGCUGUCACUUAUAGAUGGAUCCGCGCUGCAUUAGCUAGUUGGUAAGGUAACGGCUUACCAAGGCAACGAUGCAUAGCCGACCUGAGAGGGUGAUCGGCCACACUGGAACUGAGACACGGUCCAGACUCCUACGGGAGGCAGCAGUAGGGAAUCUUCCGCAAUGGGCGAAAGCCUGACGGAGCAACGCCGCGUGAGUGAUGAAGGUCUUCGGAUCGUAAAACUCUGUUAUUAGGGAAGAACAUAUGUGUAAGUAACUGUGCACAUCUUGACGGUACCUAAUCAGAAAGCCACGGCUAACUACGUGCCAGCAGCCGCGGUAAUACGUAGGUGGCAAGCGUUAUCCGGAAUUAUUGGGCGUAAAGCGCGCGUAGGCGGUUUUUUAAGUCUGAUGUGAAAGCCCACGGCUCAACCGUGGAGGGUCAUUGGAAACUGGAAAACUUGAGUGCAGAAGAGGAAAGUGGAAUUCCAUGUGUAGCGGUGAAAUGCGCAGAGAUAUGGAGGAACACCAGUGGCGAAGGCGACUUUCUGGUCUGUAACUGACGCUGAUGUGCGAAAGCGUGGGGAUCAAACAGGAUUAG
rnacentral:rRNA from 1 species